rnacentral:rRNA from 1 species
CACGUAGGGGCCAAGCGUUGUCCGGAUUUAUUGGGCGUAAAGAGCUCGUAGGCGGUUCAGUCAGUCGGGUGUGAAAUCCCCGAGCUCAACUCGGGAACUGCGUCCGAUACUGGCGGGCUUGAAUCCGGGAGAGGGAUGCGGAAUUCCAGGUGUAGCGGUGAAAUGCGUAGAUAUCUGGAGGAACACCGGUGGCGAAGGCGGCAUCCUGGACCGGCAUUGACGCUGAGGCGCGAAAGCUAGGGGAGCAAACGGG